AUGCUCACCCAACACACACUCCCAACACACACCCCAGCAUACACACAAACCCAACACACACAUGCACACCCAACACACAUCCUAGCACCCACCCAGGACACACAAACCCAACACACACAUGCACACCAACACAUGCCCCAACACACACCCAACAUACAUACACACCCAACACACACCCCAACACACACAUACACACCCAACACACAACACAGACACAUAUACACCCAACACACUCCAACACACAAACCCAAUACACACACCCAACACACACAGACACACCCAAUACACACUCCCAACAUACACACUCUAAUGCACCCACACACCCAACACAUAUACACCCCAACAUACACAUACCAUACAUCCCCAACACACCACACACACCCAACACACACAUAUACACCCAAUACACACAGGCUCCCAACACACAUAUACUCAACACACCCCAACAUACACACAUACACACCCAACACACAUCCAACACACCCACACCCAACACACACACCGAACACACACACACACCCAACACACACACAUACCCAAUACACACACAUACCCAACACACACAAAUGCCUAACACACACAAAUACAAACCCAACACAACACACACACCCAACACAUGCAUACACCCCAGCAUAUACACCCAACCAACACAGGCAUACACAUCACACACACACCACACACCCCCAUACACAGACCCCCAACACACCCCAACACACACAUACCACCAAGACACACAUAUACAACACACACACAACACACAUAUACACACAACGCACACACCCAACAUACACAACAACCAACACACCAACACAUACAACACACACAUGUACACACACAACAUACACACCACACAUACCCAACUCACACACACCACACACGCCCAACAUACACACACCCCAAUACACACACAAAACACACAAUACACACCCCAGCACACAUAACACACAUCCACAUACCAACACACACCCCAACACAUACAUACAUACCCAACACACACCAAUACACACCCCAACACACACUCCCAACACACACCCCAACACACACACACAUAUACACAACACAUACACACACCCCAACACACACACACAAACCCCAACACACCCAACAUACACACACACCACACCCACCCAACACACACAAACACAACUGGAUAUCCACAUGCAAAAGAAUAAAGUUAGGCUGGCACUGUGGCUCACACCUGUUAUCCCAGCACUUUGGGAGGCUGAGGCAUGCGGAUCACCUGAGGUUGGGAGUUUGAGACCAGCCUGA
ensembl:lncRNA